CCAUUGUCUUUUAAAUUGUGGUAG
rnacentral:siRNA from 1 species